rnacentral:lncRNA from 1 species
UGUGUGUCGUGAAUCAUAGAGGGAAAGAGGGAGAAACACUAAAAGGUUAAAUUUUGCAUGCUAAUUUCUCAUCAUCUAGUAAUGACAAACCCAAGAUUUUGAUAAUGAACAUUCAUGUUCAUCUGUUAAGUUUGAAUGUUCAUGUUCAUGAUCAGAUUUUGUUCUUGAAGAUGUGUUAAGUUUGAAUGUUCAUGAAUUUUUUGAAGAUGAUGAAAAUGAAUGUUCAUGUUCAUGUUCAUGUGUUAAGUUUGAAUGUUCAUGUUCAGAUUUCGUUCUUGAAGAUUUAUUCUUAAAGAUGUGUGAAGUUUGAAUCUUCAUGAUUUUUUUUUAAGAUGAUGAU